rnacentral:rRNA from 1 species
CCCCUAGAUGUUCUGGGCCGCACGCGCGCUACACUGAACAGUUCAACAAGUCUUAACCUUGGCCGAUAGGUCUGGGUAAUCUUUGAACGCUGUUCGUGAUUGGGAUAGACCUUUGCAAUUAUGGGUCUUCAACGAGGAAUUCCUAGUAAACGCAAGUCAUCAGCUUGCAUUGAUUACGUCCCUGCCCUUUGUACACACCGCCCGUCGCACCUACCGAUUGAAUGGUCCGGUGAAAUCUCGGGACGGCGGCUUGGUCGCUUGCGUCCGACUGCUGAAACUUGAUUAAACCAUAUCAUUUAGAGGAAGGUGAANUUGUANCA